AACGAACGCUGGCGGCAGGCCUAACACAUGCAAGUCGAGCGCGCCUUUCGGGGUGAGCGGCGGACGGGUUAGUAACGCGUGGGAACGUACCCUUUUCUGCGGAAUAGCCUCUGGAAACGGAGAGUAAUACCGCAUACGCCCUUUGGGGGAAAGAUUUAUCGGAGAAGGAUCGGCCCGCGUUAGAUUAGAUAGUUGGUGGGGUAACGGCCUACCAAGUCUACGAUCUAUAGCUGGUUUUAGAGGAUGAUCAGCAACACUGGGACUGAGACACGGCCCAGACUCCUACGGGAGGCAGCAGUGGGGAAUCUUGGACAAUGGGCGCAAGCCUGAUCCAGCCAUGCCGCGUGAGUGAAGAAGGCCUUAGGGUCGUAAAGCUCUUUCGCCUGUGAUGAUAAUGACAGUAGCAGGUAAAGAAACCCCGGCUAACUCCGUG
rnacentral:rRNA from 1 species